AACGAACGCUGGCGGCAUGCCUAACACAUGCAAGUCGAACGAGACCUUCGGGUCUAGUGGCGCACGGGUGCGUAACGCGUGGGAACCUGCCCUUAGGUUCGGAAUAACUCCCCGAAAGGGGUGCUAAUACCGGUUAAUGUCUUCGGACCAAAGAUUUAUCGCCUUUGGAUGGGCCCGCGUUGGAUUAGCUGGUUGGUAGGGUAAAAGCCUACCAAGGCGACGAUCCAUAGCUGGUGUGAGAGGAUGAUCAGCCACACUGGGACUGAGACACGGCCCAGACUCCUACGGGAGGCAGCAGUGGGGAAUAUUGGACAAUGGGCGAAAGCCUGAUCCAGCAAUGCCGCGUGAGUGAUGAAGGCCUUAGGGUUGUAAAGCUCUUUUACACGGGAUGAUAAUGACAGUACCGGGAGAAUAAGCUCCGGCUAACUCCGUG
rnacentral:rRNA from 1 species